ensembl:lncRNA
CACACACACAAGAGAGAGCGAGGGCAGGUGUGUGAACUUCCAUCCUUGGUCUGAUGGACACAUGGAAGCACAUUGUUAAGUGCAUAUUAAGAUUUCUACAUGUGCUAACUCAAACAUAUGGUCAUGGUUUCCUUAAAAUUUUCUCUAAACUCCUUCCUCUCUAUGUUGAGAAUAAGCAAGAACAAUUCUCCCCAGAAGGUGAAGUUCAAAGCUGCUAUUUCUGAGAACAGAAGUUUAGAAAGAAAAUGACACAUCAGUUUUGGCUCUGGCAUCUUGUGAGCAUUUCUUGGUGUCUUUCAACUUACUCUUUUGUGAAACAAACAAUACGGAUGUCUCAAUUUGCUGGUGCUCAGCCCCACACUCCUGCCUUUGACAAAUCCAUUUGUGGAAAUGGAAGUGGGAUCCUUGAGUGUGACUCAUUUGUCUGUCAUCUUCCACGCGCAUCCUGGACAUCUGCUCCUUCACAUUCAUCUUUGCUCUUCCUCCUGCUCCAACACUGUCACACAGGGCAUUGUCACCACCUGCCCUAGUUGGUUAUUUGCCACUAAGUAGUGUGUAAAUAACAUUUUAUUUGGUAAAAAUAAUGGAGGCAUCAUUUACUUCUGCAGUUUACUUUAUUGACAGUAGAGAGGCUUGUACCAAGAUGAUGGAAUUUCCUGACUUUUUCUACUGAACUGCUUCUUGGGAAAAAGAGAAAACUUACUCCAAAGUGGAGAUAAGAAAAAUCAUUGUCUGAACCGAUACCAUCUGAAGUCUAAGGAUGGUAACUGUGUAGACAGAGGUCUCCAGAUUAAUUUCUUGAACAUCCAGUAGAAUUAAGCUAAAAGUAGCAUUAUUUUGGAUUGGUGCAGUGUUGAUGUAAGAAAACCACUGGGAAAGAAAAGAAUUAUUUUUAUUAGUAUCAGGACUGAGCAGAGAAGUACCUGAGCAGAAGAUAUAGAAAUGUCUGUUUGCAUGUGAUAAGCAGUAAAUCACUUUAUUUGAAACAUUUUCCAUGCAAUAUGUCACUGUUGUCUUUGCAAGGACCUUCUUGUAUGUGUGUGCUCCUGUUUUACCACGAUCUACACAGUCCAAACAUAAAAAAGAGUAAAAGCCAUCCUCAAAUAGUUGAAAAUCUAAGUGAAAGGCAAACAUAAAGAUAAAGCAAAUAGAUAAAGGGAAGAGUGGAAGAUGUAGGGAGUACAAAUGGUUUGAGAGAGUGAGUCUUAGCCUUGUGACUAGUUCCUGCAAAAAAAUGUAGAGAUCAUGCUGGUAUGGGGUUUUAUGAAUCAUUUUGAUAAAGCUGUAAUCAAAGAAUGAAUCAAAAUAGUUCCUGUUAAGGAAAACAUUAUCUUUGCAGUCCAUUAGAAUUCUUUCAUUACUUGAGGGCAGGAAAUCUUGUAGCUACAAUUGUAAAUACAGUUUAUGUGGAUAAAGUCACUAAAAAAAAAUUAUCUCAGUAUAAGAAGGAAGUUCUCUCGUGGAUUAAGGAGCUUUAAGAAGUUGAGAAAUAAGGACUUGAGAAAGAGAUUAGUAGUUGAGCAAUGUAAAGACCCGUACUGGAACUUGUGAAAAAUGUCUGGAAAGGCAAUAAAUAGUACCGUUUUUAAAAUUUUUUUUGUUGU